UACAGAGGAUGCAAGCGUUGUCCGGAAUUACUGGGCGUAAAGCGCACGUAGGCGGGUUUGUAAGUAGGGGGUGAAAUCCCAGGGCUCAACCCUGGAACUGCCUUCUAGACUGCAAGCCUGGAGGUCAGGAGAGGCGAGUGGAAUACCGAGUGUAGAGGUGAAAUUCGUAGAUAUUCGGUGGAACACCAGUGGCGAAGGCGACUCGCUGGACUGAUACUGACGCUGAGGUGCGAAAGCGUGGGGAGCAAACAGG
rnacentral:rRNA from 1 species